rnacentral:rRNA from 1 species
AGGGCACCACCAGGAGUGGAGCCUGCGGCUUAAUUUGACUCAACACGGGGGAACUUACCCGGCCUGGACACUGGAAGGAUUGACAGAUUGAGAGCUCUUUCUUGAUUCAGUGGGUGGUGGUGCAUGGCCGUUCUUAGUUGGUGGAGCGAUUUGUCUGGUUAAUUCCGAUAACGAACGAGACUCUAGCCUAUUAAAUAGGCUCUCGGCUUUUAAACGCCGGGAGGACUUCUUAGAGGGACAGGUGGCGGUUCAGCCGCACGAAAGAGAGCAAUAACAGGUCUGUGAUGCCCUUUGUUGUCCGGGGCCGCACGCGCGCUACACUGAAGAGAUCAGCGUGCUUUACGUUCCUGCUCCGACCGGAGUGGGGAACCCAGUGAACCUUCUUCGUGAUUGGGAUAGAAGAUUGUAAUUAUUCUUCUUGAACGAGGAAUUCCCAGUAAAUGCGAGUCAUAAGCUCGCGUUGAUUACGUCCCUGCCCUUUGUACACACCGCCCGUCGCUACUACCGAUUGAACGAUUU